AGUUUGAUCCUGGCUCAGAUUGAACGCUGGCGGUAUGCUUAACACAUGCAAGUCGAACGGAAACGAAACUAGCUUGCUAGUAGGCGUCGAGUGGCGGACGGGUGAGUAACGCGUAGGAAUCUGCCUGAUAGUGGGGGAUAGCCCGAAGAAAUUCGGAUUAAUACCGCAUAAUCUAUUCGUAGUAAAGUGGGGGACUUUCGAGCCUCACGCUAUCAGAUGAGCCUGCGUAAGAUUAGCUUGUUGGUAGGGUAAAAGCCUACCAAGGCAACGAUCUUUAGCUGGUCUGAGAGGAUGAUCAGCCACAUCGGGACUGAGACACGGCCCGAACUCCUACGGGAGGCAGCAGUGGGGAAUAUUGGACAAUGGGGGCAACCCUGAUCCAGCAAUACCGCGUGUGUGAAGAAGGCCUGAGGGUUGUAAAGCACUUUCAAUUGUGAAGAAAAGUCAACGGUUAAUAACCGUUGACCUUGACGUUAACUUUAGAAGAAGCACCGGCUAACUCCGUGCCAGCAGCCGCGGUAAUACGGAGGGUGCAAGCGUUAAUCGGAAUUACUGGGCGUAAAGCGUGCGUAGGCGGUUUAUUAAGUCAGAUGUGAAAGCCCCGGGCUUAACCUGGGAACUGCAUUUGAAACUGGUCAACUAGAGUAUGGUAGAGGAAAGUGGAAUUUCUGGUGUAGCGGUGAAAUGCGUAGAUAUCAGAAGGAACAUCAAUGGCGAAGGCAGCUUUCUGGACCAAUACUGACGCUGAGGUACGAAAGCGUGGGUAGCAAACAGGAUUAGAUACCCUGGUAGUCCACGCCGUAAACGAUGAUAACUAGCCGUUGGGGGGAUUUACCCCUUAGUGGCGAAGCUAACGCGUUAAGUUAUCCGCCUGGGGAGUACGGCCGCAAGGCUAAAACUCAAAGGAAUUGACGGGGACCCGCACAAGCGGUGGAGCAUGUGGUUUAAUUCGAUGCAACGCGAAGAACCUUACCUGGUCUUGACAUCCUGCGAACUUUCUAGAAAUAGAUUGGUGCCUUCGGGAACGCAGUGACAGGUGCUGCAUGGCUGUCGUCAGCUCGUGUCGUGAGAUGUUGGGUUAAGUCCCGUAACGAGCGCAACCCCUAUCCUUAUUUGCCAGCACAUUAUGGUGGGAACUAUAAGGAGACUGCCGGUGAUAAACCGGAGGAAGGCGGGGACGACGUCAAGUCAUCAUGGCCCUUACGACCAGGGCUACACACGUGCUACAAUGGGAAGGACAAAGAGCCGCGAAGCCGCGAGGUGUAGCUAAUCUCAUAAAUCUUUUCGUAGUCCGGAUUGGAGUCUGCAACUCGACUCCAUGAAGUCGGAAUCGCUAGUAAUCGUAGAUCAGAAUGCUACGGUGAAUACGUUCCCGGGUCUUGUACACACCGCCCGUCAUACCAUGGGAGUGGGUUGCACCAGAAGUGGCUAGUCUAACUUUGUGAGGACGGUCACCACGGUGUGAUUCAUGACUGGGGUAAAGUCGUAACAAGGUAACC
rnacentral:rRNA from 1 species